GUCAUGGUUAAGUGGGAAACGAUGUGGGAAGGCCCAGACAGCCAGGAUGUUGGCUUAGAAGCAGCCAUCAUUUAAAGAAAGCGUAAUAGCUCACUGGUCGAGUCGGCCUGCGCGGAAGAUGUAACGGGGCUAAACCAUGCACCGAAGCUGCGGCAGCGACGCUUAUGCGUUGUUGGGUAGGGGAGCGUUCUGUAAGCCUGUGAAGGUGUGCUGUGAGGCAUGCUGGAGGUAUCAGAAGUGCGAAUGCUGACAUAAGUAACGAUAAAGCGGGUGAAAAGCCCGCUCGCCGGAAGACCAAGGGUUCCUGUCCAACGUUAAUCGGGGCAGGGUGAGUCGACCCCUAAGGCGAGGCCGAAAGGCGUAGUCGAUGGGAAACAGGUUAAUAUUCCUGUACUUGGUGUUACUGCGAAGGGGGGACGGAGAAGGCUAUGUUGGCCGGGCGACGGUUGUCCCGGUUUAAGCGUGUAGGCUGGUUUUCCAGGCAAAUCCGGAAAAUCAAGGCUGAGGCGUGAUGACGAGGCACUACGGUGCUGAAGCAACAAAUGCCCUGCUUCCAGGAAAAGCCUCUAAGCAUCAGGUAACAUCAAAUCGUACCCCAAACCGACACAGGUGGUCAGGUAGAGAAUACCAAGGCGCUUGAGAGAACUCGGGUGAAGGAACUAGGCAAAAUGGUGCCGUAACUUCGGGAGAAGG
rnacentral:rRNA from 1 species